AUCUUGCACAAUGGUGGAAACCCUGAUGCAGCGACGCCGCGUGAGUGUAGAAGUAUUUCGGUAUGUAAAGCUCUAUCAUCAGGGAAGAAAAUGACGGUACCUGACUAAGAAGCCCCGUCUAACUACGUGCCAGCAGCCGCGGCAAUACGUAGGGGGCAAGCGUUAUCCGGAUUUACUGGGUGUAAAGUGAGCGUAGGUGGUUCGACAAGUCAGAUGUGAAAGACCGGGGCUCAACACCGGGACUGCAUUUGGAACUGUCGUACUAGAGUGCAGGAGAGGUAAGUGGAAUUCCUAGUGUAGCGGUGAAAUGCGUAGAUAUUAGGAGGAACACCAGUGGCGAAGGCGGCUUACUGGACUGUAACUGACACUGAGGCUCGAAAGCGUGGGGAGCAAACAGG
rnacentral:rRNA from 1 species